AUUGAACGCUGGCGGCAUGCCUUACACAUGCAAGUCGAACGGCAGCGGGGACUUCGGUCCGCCGGCGAGUGGCGAACGGGUGAGUAACGUAUCGGAACGUACCAUUGAGUGGGGGAUAACGUAGCGAAAGUUACGCUAAUACCGCAUAUUCUCUCCGGAGGAAAGCAGGGGACCGCAAGGCCUUGCGCUCUUUGAGCGGCCGAUAUCAGAUUAGCUAGUUGGUGAGGUAAAGGCUCACCAAGGCGACGAUCUGUAGCGGGUCUGAGAGGAUGAUCCGCCACACUGGAACGGAGACACGGUCCAGACGCCUACGGGAGGCAGCAGUGGGGAAUUUUGGACAAUGGGGGCAACCCUGAUCCAGCCAUGCCGCGUGAGUGAAGAAGGCCUUCGGGUUGUAAAGCUCUUUCGGCCGGGAAAAAAUCGCAUGGGCUAAUACCCUGUGUGGAUGAUGGUACCGGAAUAAGAAGCACCGGCUAACUACGCGCCAGCCGCCGCGGUAACAC
rnacentral:rRNA from 1 species